UACAGAGGGUGCAAGCGUUGUUCGGAAUUAUUGGGCGUAAAGGGAGUGUAGGCGGUUUGCUAAGUCUUCUGUGAAAUCUACGGGCUCAGCCUGUAACGUGCAGAGGAAACUGACAGACUUGAGUGUCGGAGAGGAUAGUGGAAUUCCCGGUGUAGAGGUGAAAUUCGUAGAUAUUGGGAAGAACACCGGUGGCGAAGGCGGCUCACUGGCUCAUUUCUGACGCUCAGGCGCGACAGCGUGGGGAUCAAACAGG
rnacentral:rRNA from 1 species